UACAAAUUUAUGUGUCUUUACAGCAUCAAUUGAAUAGCCACCUCAUUAAUUUUGUAACUAACAUUCAUCAUCAUAAUCCAUCCCAUCUUCUUCGCCUUCUGUGUCGGAUUAACUGAGCAGCCAGUUAAAAACUUGGCAAAGAAACCGUAAGAGGCGGAAGAUUAUGAAGCAUAUAUACUAGAGUAUUACCGAGGACUUAAGAGUUCUUGAUCAGAGAUUCUUCACUGCGGCAUUUGUAACUAUUAGAAUGAGCACCUAUGCAAUGUUGGGGAGUACCAAGCAAUCAAGCCCCCUGCCCUUCAUUACCUACUAUCAGAAGGUUGGCAACAUUGUCAAGGAUGAGACGGUCUUCUUAACAGCUGUUCUGUUACUAGGGUAUUCUUUUCCGUUAGGGUAGCAUACAUUUUCAAGUACUGUUAUGUGCAUAUGAAAUGGAUUCUGCAUCAUUUAGCCCCAGAACACUCAUCUCCUUCAAGGGUAAGUAGUAGGGAUAUCAACAUGGACAGCGAGUAAGGCUAGCAACGAAUCCCAACUCUUGCGAGUUUGUCUUGAGUGUUGGUGUGGAGAUUUGAUGCAUCAAGUAUUUUCUAUUAUGCAGGUUAAAGCGGGCAUAACAUAAUGUAAGGCUUUGGGUGCUUUGUUUCUUUUAUAAGUAUACAUUUCCUUGAAGGAAAUUUACACUUUGUUAAAGCUAAACUCCAGAAUUAUAUUGCUCAUUCACCUUUUAUGACCAAAUACUUAGACAAUCCAAUGACUUGGUUGUUCACUUUAAUCUUUUACACAAUGGAGGGGUACACAGAUAUUCCUUUGUUAUUUAGACGUGUUGUUGUAUCAUUUUAUUAUAUAUGAAAUUAUAUGGUUCGUAGUGUUUUA